rnacentral:rRNA from 1 species
UACGUAGGGGGCAAGCGUUGUCCGGAUUUAUUGGGCGUAAAGAGCAUGCAGGCGGCUUGGUAGGUCCGCUGUGAAAACUCGAGGCUCAACCUCGAGAUGUCGGCGGAAACCACUUGGCUAGAGUCCGGAAGAGGAGAGUGGAAUUCCCGGUGUAGCGGUGAAAUGCGCAGAUAUCGGGAAGAACACCUAUGGCGAAGGCAGCUCUCUGGGACGGUACUGACGCUGAGACGCGAAAGCGUGGGGAGCGAACAGG